rnacentral:rRNA from 1 species
GGCUGCGACCAUACCACGUUGGAAACACUCUCGUCUGAUCACCGAAAUGAAGCAACGUCGGGCCCGGUGACCGGCUGGGAAAAGCGAGUGUUGCGGCCG